CGUAGGUGGUAGUGCAAGUCUGGGGUGGAAUCCCAGGGGCUUAACCCCUGGGAACUGCCUUGGAAACUGUAUUACUUGAGUCAGUGAGGGGAGGGUAGAAUUCCUGGUGUAGCGGUGAAAUGCGUAGAUAUCAGGAGGAAGGCCUGUGGCGAAGGCGGCCCUCUGGCGCUGAACUGACACUGAGGCGCGAAAGCGUGGGGAGCAAACAGGAUUAGAUACCCUGGUAGUCCACGCCCUAAACGGUGGGUACUAGGUGUAGGGCUCGUAAGGGUUCUGUGCCGAAGCGAAAGCAUUAAGUACCCCGCCUGGGGAGUACGGCCGCAAGGUUGAA
rnacentral:rRNA from 1 species